rnacentral:tRNA from 1 species
UCUAUUAAAGUGUCAUUUGCACAUGAAAAUUUGAUUUUCAAAGAGAUAAUAAUCUAAUAGAA